rnacentral:rRNA from 1 species
AUGAUGGAGGAGCUGAGGCUCCUCCUAUCCUGGACCCUAUUCCAGAUCCAAAAUCUGUUGACAGUGAUGAGGAGAUGGAAGAAAGAACCUCCAAUAUUUGCUGAAGAGGAGGCUGGUACUAGUAAGAAGAAGAAGAAGCGCAAACGCGAGACAAUAAAGCAGACUCAAUGCAAGACGAAAAUGUUGGUGAAGCUGAUAGAUGGGCGAUGGGAGGUGACGCACUUUGUUCGUGACCACAAUCAUCCGCUCAUGAACAAACCUUCAUUGUCCAAAUACUUGAGAUCCCACCAAGGCAUCUCACCUGAUGAAAAGGAGUUUCUGCGCAUCUUGUAUAACUGCAACUUGACUACAGGACGUAUGAUGCAUAUAAUGGCAGAGUUCUACGGAUCUGAGAUGAUGGUGCCGUUCGGACCAAAGGCAAUAACAAAUCUGUGUACAAGUUUCUGUAGAGAUGACACAAAGGAGGGUGACCUGAUUGAGACAAUUGCGCACUUCAAGGAUAUACAAAAAAGAUCCAGACUUCUUCUAUAA